GUGCCAGCCGCCGCGGUAAUACCCGGGUGCAAGCGUUACUCGGAAUCACUGGGCGUUUAGAGCAUGUAGGCGGAUUGAUAAGUAAGAAGUGAAAUCCUAUAGCUUAACUAUAGAACUGCUUUGAAAACUGUUAAUCUAGAAUGUGGGAGAGGUAGAUGGAAUUUCUGGUGUAGGGGUAAAAUCCGUAGAGAUCAGAAGGAAUACCGAUUGCGAAGGCGAUCUACUGGAACAUUAUUGACGCUGAGAUGCGAAAGCGUGGGGAGCAAACAGGAUUAGAUACCCCUGUAGUCC
rnacentral:rRNA from 1 species